UGACUGCUCUGAUGUUAUCUGAUUCAUGCUGCUGGAUGUCUUAUUACAACAUAUUUGUUUUAAGUUCAAUUAUUAAACCAAGCUUCCUGCACUUGCUGUGGCGACUCUGAGGACGGACAAUGCAGCAUUGACUGAGGGAAACCCCUGACGGAUGUCCACGCUCGGCGAUGGUCGGCCGGCCAAACAAGCCCUUUCUUCCUCCGAACCGAUCAAACCAAUCACGGUCAGCAGGGCGACUCUACUGGACCGUACAGGAGCCCGUCUGUGGAAGACCUGCCGGGUGGAUUCGGCCAAUCCUGAAGGCAGUCUUUCAAUGACCCGAGGACAUCUCCGGCUGAGGUCCAGCAUGGUUUCCCAGAAUCCUCUCUGGACCAACGAAGUCAUUUCUCCAUAGUCUGACUGAACUCCUCCCACUCAGACUGGAGCCCGCUGGGCCUGCUGGUUCCGGUCGUCUAUACUGGGUCUGGGUUCACCAGGUUCAACAGACGUAACUGGGCUGUUUACCACAUGACUGAAGUGAUUAUUAAGAUUCAGGAAUGUUUUAUCGUGUAAAGUUUUUCUAAAAAAAAACAAACUCAGUCAGUGUUUUGAGAAAACGUCCCAUAGUGAAGUUAAAGGGGACCUAUUAUGGAAUCUAAUACCUAUUUUAAACAGGCCUUGAAUGUCUUAAAAACAAGCUUUUGAUUGUUUUUGCUAAAUAAAUUAGAAAUUCAGCCUCUGAGCCAUGUCUUUAUCUUCCCAUUAUCUAACCUCAUUAUCUAUGCGGGAUUCUGAGUGGGCGGGGCUAUGAUAAUGAGGCUCUGUGCUGAUUGGCUGCCUGAAUGACGUGAUACACCGCUACGAAAAAAUGGCGGAAGCUCCUGCCGGCGGAGUUAGUUGUGUGCAUGGUUUCACGCAUCAGAGGCAAACCUAUGUAAAUCGCUCCCGUAUUUACGUAACGACAGGAGCAGAAUCUGAACGGCUCGUAGAUCCACAUCACACUGGACGGCUCAUCCGUGCGGCUGUACAGACACUGCAGAAUUUGGUUGCUUUCCUCCUCCUCUGAGUUGGCAGGCUGAGGGGAGACCACUUUAUAUAUGUUAAAGCAAGAGAAAACGUGUUUUUCAUAAUAGGUCCCCUUUAAUAAUUUUGACCUUAGCUGGAGGUCAUUAUGAACCACAUGCAGUAUUUCAUAGUUCAAUUUUAUUCUGAACUAUCAGGGAGAAAAGAAACUGAAUUCUGGAGGGACGCUGAGUGUGUUUUUGAGAAAUGUUAGAAAUUAUUACAGUAAAUAAAUACAAAUCCGGCUGUUCAGCAGUAGCUUUAUGUUGGAUCUUCUCUUUUUUUAGUGAUAAUUUAAAACUAUACAGAUCCAGAUGUAUUAGGUGUGGAUGUAUUUGAUCACUGACACUAUUUUUAUUAUAGCUUUACUCUUUUUUU